UGCCGCAUCUCCGCCCUUGACGUCUGAGAAAAGGGGAAAAAGAUGAAGGCUCAUGAUCAACAGGAGAAUGCAAUGGAGAAGCAGCCAAAGGAAGAGCGCGAACAUGAGGCAGAGGUGAAUAAAGAGAUGAGGAAAGGAUCAUGCUGAAUCGCUGAUCCUAGAUGAGAUCAGAUGUAGAGCUAGAAGUUGAUCAUAUGUUCUCAAAUUAUGUGGUUGUGUCUAAAAAGGGGUAUGGGAUUGUAACGUCAUUCUAGUGUUUUGUAAGGGGGUGGUAUAUAUGUUGGUAGUAUUGAUUCAAGACUUUGUGCAGGUUUUAUGUAGCUUGUUGCAAUGAGGGUUAUAUGGAUCAUUGUUGUGCGCCUGCAUUAUUUAGAUUGUGAUCAUCAUGUUUCUUAGCUUAUUAUCAGAUCUUUGUUUGAUUUUUAUGUGAACGAAUGAACGAAUGACUGUGUAUAUGAAUGAACGAUUGAAUGGGAUCA